rnacentral:rRNA from 1 species
UGUUCCCAUACCGAACACAGUAGUUAAGCUCAGUAGCGCCAAAAGUAGUUGGAGGAUCGCCUCCUGCGAGGAUAGGACAUCGCGAUGC